UACGUAGGUGGCAAGCGUUGUCCGGAAUUACUGGGUGUAAAGGGAGCGCAGGCGGGAAGCCAAGUCAGCUGUGAAAACUAAGGGCUUAACUUGUAGACUGCAGUUGAAACUGGUUUUCUUGAGUGAAGUAGAGGUUGGCGGAAUUCCGAGUGUAGCGGUGAAAUGCGUAGAUAUUCGGAGGAACACCGGUGGCGAAGGCGGCCAACUGGGCUUUAACUGACGCUGAGGCUCGAAAGUGUGGGGAGCAAACAGG
rnacentral:rRNA from 1 species